AUUGAACGCUGGCGGCAGGCUUAACACAUGCAAGUCGAGCGGGGGAAGGUAGCUUGCUACCGGACCUAGCGGCGGACGGGCGAGUAAUGCUUAGGAAUCUGCCUAUCAGUGCGGGACAACAUCUCGAAAGGGAUGCUAAUACCGCAUACGUCCUACGGGCGCAAGCAGGGGAUCUUCGGCCCUUGCGCGAAUAGAUGAGCCUAAGUCGGAUUAGCUAGUUGGUGUGGUAAAGGCGCACCAAGGCUAAGACACCUAGGCGGACUGAGAGGUUGACCGCCGGCAUUGGGACUGAGACACUGCCCAGACUCCUACGGGAGGCUGCAGUCGAGAAUCUUUCGCAAUGGGCGCAAGCCUGACGAAGCGACGCCUCGUGAGUGAUGAAGGCCUACGGGUUGUAAAGCUCUGUUGUCGGGGAACAAGAGAAAGGGACGAAUAGUCUUCUAAUUCGAGGGUACCCGAAGAAUAAGCACCGGCUAACUCCGUGCCAGCCGCCGCAGUAA
rnacentral:rRNA from 1 species